CAAGGAUCUUUGCUCUUUGAGUUUUGCUUUGUGACUGUAUCUUUAGACUAACAGCAAGCUAAGGGGAGUCUUUGGGAAAAGAAGCCUUGUUUUCAUGAAGAUGAAGAUCAGGAAUGUGAGACUUCCUAGCUGUUUGUCAAGGAACUGACAGCCACAAGCACAGCAAAAUUCCUCAGAUCCACCAUGCCUCUGGUUUGAGUAUUCCCAGUCCUUGUAAACCCAAAUAUGUGAGGAAGCAAGUUUCAUGUUUCUGUAGGUCAAGAAAGUUGUGA
ensembl:lncRNA